UACGAAGGGUGCAAACGUUGCUCGGAAUUAUUGGGCGUAAAGAGCUCGUAGGCGGCCUGUCGCGUCGACCGUGAAAACCCGCAGCUCAACUGCGGGCUUGCGGUCGAUACGGGCAGGCUGGAGUUCGGUAGGGGAGACUGGAAUUCCUGGUGUAGCGGUGAAAUGCGCAGAUAUCAGGAGGAACACCGGUGGCGAAGGCGGGUCUCUGGGCCGAUACUGACGCUGAGGAGCGAAAGCGUGGGGAGCGUACAGG
rnacentral:rRNA from 1 species